rnacentral:rRNA from 1 species
AGCAGCCGCGGUAAUUCCAGCUCCAAUAGCGUAUAUUAAAGUUGUUGCAGUUAAAAAGCUCGUAGUUGAACUUCAGGCCUGGCUGGACGGUCCGCCUUCCGGGUGAGUACUGUCUGUGGUCGGGUCCUACCUUCUGGCGAAGCGUCAUGGCCUUAACCGGCCGUGGCGGGGAACCAGGACUUUUACUGUGAAAAAUUAGAGUGUUCAAAGCAGGCAAUUCGCUUGGAUACAUUAGCAUGGAAUAAUGGAAUAGGACAAUUGUUCUAUUUGUUGGUUUCUAGGACUGUUGUAAUGAUUAAUAGGGAUAGUUGGGGGCAUUAGUAUUCAAUUGUCAGAGGUGAAAUUCUUGGAUUUAUUGAAGACUAACUACUGCGAAAGCAUUUGCCAAGGAUGUUUUCAUUAAUCAAGAACGAAAGUUAGGGGAUCGAAGACGAUCAGAUACCGUCGUAG